rnacentral:piRNA from 1 species
UUUCAUAAAACCCAUUUUGAA